UUAGUACUCCCUUCGUUUAAAAAAAUUUGUCCCAAGUUUGUCCCUUAAAUGGAUAUAUCUAGCAACAAAUUAGUACUAGAUACAUCAAUUUAAGGGAUAAGUUUUUUUGGACGGAGGAAGUAGAUU
rnacentral:pre_miRNA from 1 species